AUACGUAGGGGGCGAGCGUUAUCCGGAUUUAUUGGGCGUAAAGCGUGUGUAGGCGGGUUGUUAAGUUUAAGAUUAAAGCCCGAGGCUUAACCUCGGUUCGUCUUAAAAACUGGCAGACAUGAGUGCAGUAGAGGCAAGUGGAAUUUCUAGUGUAGCGGUUAAAUGCGUAGAUAUUAGAAGGAACACCAGUGGCGAAGGCGGCUUGCUGGGCUGUUACUGACGCUGAGACACGAAAGCGUGGGGAGCAAAUAGGAUUAGAUACCCUAGUAGUCCACGCCGUAAACGAUGAGUACUAAGUGUCGGGUAACCGGUGCUGAAGUUAACACAUUAAGUACUCCGCCUGAGUAGUACGGUCGCAAGGCUGAAACUUAAAGGAAUUGACGGGG
rnacentral:rRNA from 1 species